rnacentral:rRNA from 1 species
GGUUAAGCGACUAAGCGUACACGGUGGAUGCCCUGGCAGUCAGAGGCGAUGAAGGGCGUGCUAAUCUGCGAUAAGCGCCGGUAAGGUGAUAUGAACCGUUAUAACCGGCGAUACCCGAAUGGGGAAACCCAGUGUGACUCGUCACACUAUCAUUAACUGAAUCCAUAGGUUAAUGAGGCGAACCGGGGGAACUGAAACAUCUAAGUACCCCGAGGAAAAGAAAUCAACCGAGAUUCCCCCAGUAGCGGCGAGCGAACGGGGAGGAGCCCAGAGCCUGAAUCAGCAUGUGUGUUAGUGGAAGCGUCUGGAAAGGCGCGCGAUACAGGGUGACAGCCCCGUACACAAAAGCGCAUGUGCUGUGAGCUCGAUGAGUAGGGCGGGACACGUGGUAUCCUGUCUGAAUAUGGGGGGACCAUCCUCCAAGGCUAAAUACUCCUGACUGACCGAUAGUGAACCAGUACCGUGAGGGAAAGGCGAAAAGAACCCCGGCGAGGGGAGUGAAAAAGAACCUGAAACCGUGUACGUACAAGCAGUGGGAGCCCCACCACCAAAGCAUUCUCUGGUGUUGAAGGCCCUGCAAAGCAGCAUCGCGGUGGCGGAGCGUCGUUUGCGACGCCCAACACACAAAACAAGCGAUGAGUGCUUUGGGGUGGGGUGACUGCGUACCUUUUGUAUAAUGGGUCAGCGACUUAUAUUCUGUAGCAAGGUUAACCGAAUAGGGGAGCCGGAGGGAAACCGAGUCUUAAUUGGGCGUUAAGUUGCAGGGUAUAGACCCGAAACCCGGUGAUCUAGCCAUGGGCAGGUUGAAGGUUGGGUAACACUAACUGGAGGACCGAACCGACUAAUGUUGAAAAAUUAGCGGAUGACCUGUGGCUGGGGGUGAAAGGCCAAUCAAACCGGGAGAUAGCUGGUUCUCCCCGAAAGCUAUUUAGGUAGCGCCUCGUGAAUUCAUCUCCGGGGGUAGAGCACUGUUUCGGCUAGGGGGCCAUCCCGGCUUACCAACCCGAUGCAAACUGCGAAUACCGGAGAAUGUUAUCACGGGAGACACACGGCGGGUGCUAACGUCCGUCGUGAAGAGGGAAACAACCCAGACCGCCAGCUAAGGUCCCAAAGUCAUGGUUAAGUGGGAAACGAUGUGGGAAGGCCCAGACAGCCAGGAUGUUGGCUUAGAAGCAGCCAUCAUUUAAAGAAAGCGUAAUAGCUCACUGGUCGAGUCGGCCUGCGCGGAAGAUGUAACGGGGCUAAACCAUGCACCGAAGCUGCGGCAGCGACACUAUGUGUUGUUGGGUAGGGGAGCGUUCUGUAAGCCUGUGAAGGUGUGUCGUGAGGCAUGCUGGAGGUAUCAGAAGUGCGAAUGCUGACAUAAGUAACGAUAAAGCGGGUGAAAAGCCCGCUCGCCGGAAGACCAAGGGUUCCUGUCCAACGUUAAUCGGGGCAGGGUGAGUCGACCCCUAAGGCGAGGCCGAAAGGCGUAGUCGAUGGGAAACGGGUUAAUAUUCCCGUACUUGGUGUUACUGCGAAGGGGGGACGGAGAAGGCUAUGUUGGCCGGGCGACGGUUGUCCCGGUUUAAGCGUGUAGGUGUGUGUUCCAGGUAAAUCCGGUUCACUUUAACACUGAGGCGUGAUGACGAGGCACUACGGUGCUGAAGCAACAAAUGCCCUGCUUCCAGGAAAAGCCUCUAAGCAUCAGGUAACAUCAAAUCGUACCCCAAACCGACACAGGUGGUCAGGUAGAGAAUACCAAGGCGCUUGAGAGAACUCGGGUGAAGGAACUAGGCAAAAUGGUGCCGUAACUUCGGGAGAAGGCACGCUGACACGUAGGUGAAGUGAUUUACUCAUGGAGCUGAAGUCAGUCGAAGAUACCAGCUGGCUGCAACUGUUUAUUAAAAACACAGCACUGUGCAAACACGAAAGUGGACGUAUACGGUGUGACGCCUGCCCGGUGCCGGAAGGUUAAUUGAUGGGGUCAGCGCAAGCGAAGCUCCUGAUCGAAGCCCCGGUAAACGGCGGCCGUAACUAUAACGGUCCUAAGGUAGCGAAAUUCCUUGUCGGGUAAGUUCCGACCUGCACGAAUGGCGUAAUGAUGGCCAGGCUGUCUCCACCCGAGACUCAGUGAAAUUGAACUCGCUGUGAAGAUGCAGUGUACCCGCGGCAAGACGGAAAGACCCCGUGAACCUUUACUAUAGCUUGACACUGAACAUUGAGCCUUGAUGUGUAGGAUAGGUGGGAGGCUUUGAAGCGUGGACGCCAGUCUGCGUGGAGCCGACCUUGAAAUACCACCCUUUAAUGUUUGAUGUUCUAACGUGGACCCGUAAUCCGGGUUGCGGACAGUGUCUGGUGGGUAGUUUGACUGGGGCGGUCUCCUCCUAAAGAGUAACGGAGGAGCACGAAGGUUGGCUAAUCCUGGUCGGACAUCAGGAGGUUAGUGCAAUGGCAUAAGCCAGCUUGACUGCGAGCGUGACGGCGCGAGCAGGUGCGAAAGCAGGUCAUAGUGAUCCGGUGGUUCUGAAUGGAAGGGCCAUCGCUCAACGGAUAAAAGGUACUCCGGGGAUAACAGGCUGAUACCGCCCAAGAGUUCAUAUCGACGGCGGUGUUUGGCACCUCGAUGUCGGCUCAUCACAUCCUGGGGCUGAAGUAGGUCCCAAGGGUAUGGCUGUUCGCCAUUUAAAGUGGUACGCGAGCUGGGUUUAGAACGUCGUGAGACAGUUCGGUCCCUAUCUGCCGUGGGCGCUGGAGAACUGAGGGGGGCUGCUCCUAGUACGAGAGGACCGGAGUGGACGCAUCACUGGUGUUCGGGUUGUCAUGCCAAUGGCACUGCCCGGUAGCUAAAUGCGGAAGAGAUAAGUGCUGAAAGCAUCUAAGCACGAAACUUGCCCCGAGAUGAGUUCUCCCUGAGACUUUAGGUCUCCUGAAGGAACGUUGAAGACGACGACGUUGAUAGGCCGGGUGUGUAAGCGCAGCGAUGCGUUGAGCUAACCGGUACUAAUGAACCGUGAGGCUUAACCUU